UGGUGGACAGUGUAUGUGGGUUUGAUCCUCCUCCCUUCCUGAACCUUGUGAGAAAUUAUCUUGAGAUAGCUGUGUGACCCAAUCAAGGACUCUGAUGUUAAGAUGAAGAGAUAGAGAAAUCCUAUGAAGAAAUUGAUUAGAUGCUCCAAACCAAAUCAAUAUAUACAUUGAUAGCCAUUUACUUAAAUGUGAAAGUGACAUGAGAGGAUGGUCAUCUUGGAAAUUGUGAUCUGAGGCAUCUUCCACUA
rnacentral:lncRNA from 1 species